GACGAACGCUGGCGGCGUGCUUAACACAUGCAAGUCGAACGACGUGGCGAACGGGUGAGUAAUACGUGGGUAACCUGCCCUCCUUUUUGGGAUAAGCCUUGGAAACGGGGUCUAAUACCGAAUAAAGGGGGAUGGGCUCGGGGCCUAUCAGGUUGUGGGUGGGGUGAUGGCCUACCAAGGCGGUGACGGGUAGCCGGCCUGAGAGGGUGAACGGGCACAUUGGGACGGGAAAACGGCCCAGGAGCCUACGGGGGGCAGCAGUGGGGGAUAUUGCACAAUGGGCGAAAGCCGGAUGCAGCGACGCCGCGGGGGGGAUGAAGGCUUUCGGGUUGUAAAACUCUUUCGCUAUCGAAGGGGUAGGUGGAGAAGAAGCGCCGGCUAACUACGUGCCAGCAGCCGCGGUAAUUC
rnacentral:rRNA from 1 species